UACGAAGGGGGCUAGCGUUGCUCGGAAUCACUGGGCGUAAAGCGCACGUAGGCCGAUUGUUAAGUCAGGGGUGAAAUCCUGGAGCUCAACUCCAGAACUGCCUUUGAUACUGAAGAUCUUGAGUUCGGGAGAGGUGAGUGGAACUGCGAGUGUAGAGGUGAAAUUCGUAGAUAUUCGCAAGAACACCAGUGGCGAAGGCGGCUCACUGGCCCGAUACUGACGCUGAGGCACGAAAGCGUGGGGAGCAAACAGG
rnacentral:rRNA from 1 species